rnacentral:lncRNA from 1 species
GGCAGCACAACGGCUGGAAAAUACAGAAGUUAAUCAAACGCACGGGGGGGCCUGGAAGUGCCAUCAGAAGACGUGUGCCCUCUGCAGUUACUGGGGGACCUGCGAUUCUUGGGAGGAAGCCCCCGACCCUCUGAUAGUGUUCACAGGAUGUGCCUUUACGUGUCCACGUGUGGAGCGGGUGCGGCGAGUGUCCACGGGGGGAGCAGGGAUUGGUGGUCACACCCUUGGAGACGGCAGCAAUUCGGGGGCCUCGCCGAGCACCCCCAGGUGAAAUGUGACCCCACCCAGUGGCCUUUCACGGAAGGGGAUGGUGCCUUCAACAAAUCCGUCUUGCCAUCAAUCACCUUGUUGUCUUGCUCUCUUGUUCUCUGUUUAUGUAAUGUUUUAUGCAAAUGUUUUAUUUGGGAAAAUUUUCCAACUUAACAGAAAAAUGCAAGUGUGAUGUGAUGAACUUUGUAUACCUUUCACCUAGAUUCACACGUGUUGACGUCUUGCAGUAAUUGUUUCAUUUCUCUCUUUCUGCAGAACUUCCCACCACAAUUCUCCAUCUCCCCAUCCCCUCUUUCCCCUCCUCUUCCUUCUUGCUAGAGGACUUGAGAUGCCAUGAUAUUGACCCCUGAAUACUUCUGUGUGUAUCUCUUAAAAACAAGAAUAUUCUUUUACGUAUUCAUCAUAUAAUGAUCCUAAGAUUCAGGAAACUUAACAUUGAUACACUCUCUCCUAAUAUACAGCUCAUAUUUAGAUCUCAUCCCAAUUGCAUCUCUUUUUUUUAAAAAAUUAUUUUAGAGAGAAAGUUCCAGUGGGGGGGAGAGGGAGAGGGAGAGGGAGAGGAAGAGAAUCCUCAAGGAGCCCCCCCCCCCCCCCGAGUGCGGAGCCAUACACGGGGCUUGAUCUCAUGACCAGUGAGAUCACAACCUGAGCCAAAAUCACCAGUUGGAUGUUUAACCCACUGAGCCACCCAGGCGCCCUUCAGUCCCAUCUCUUAUAUCAUGUUUUCUUGAUCCAUGAUCAAAUCUAAGAUCACUCAUUGCACUCAUCGGGCCUUUUUAGUCUGGAAUAGCUCCUCAGACUUUAGUUGUCUCUCAUGGCCUUGACAUUCUGAAAGAGUACCUGGACAUUAUUUUGUAAAACGCCCCGUGAUUUGUUUCCCUGACUUUUUGGCGGGAAUACUACAUAAGUCAUAUUGCAUCCAGCCUAAUGUGUGAUAGCGGGAGGCACCUGAUGCCAGUUUGACUCGUUAUUGGUGAUGUUACUGGGAUUGUGUAGUUGGGGGGCAUCCACUGGAAAGUUGCCACUUUUUUCUUUCUACUGAACAUAAUGAAACUAUAAAUAUACUACUUCCCAUCAAACAUUUACCCAACUGUUUUAUCAUCCUGUGAUAAUUUUUGCCCCAGUCCGUUAUUACUAUUAAAAUUGCCAAAUGCUGUACCUGUUUCUCUACCGUCCCACUUGUAAAUGGAGAGAUGCGAGUACUUGCUAGAAUUUGGAGGUGAGGAUGGGGAAAACCAACAUGCGCUACUUCUUCGUCCCCUAGUUGGCCAACGAAACAAAAAUGUAUUCCUUUAGCUAUUCCCUGUGCCUACAAGUGGCAUUCUAGAUUCUUGGGCAUGUCAUAGCCUUAGAUUUCCUCCCAUCCUUCCUUGAGCAAACCCUACAGUUUGUCAGUGGUUUUAACCCCUUUGUUUAGGUUUUAGGUUUUAAUCCUUUAUGUUUCUGCAUUUCCUCUGUCCAGCCUCGAAACAUGGGAGAUUAGCCACUUUUUGUUCAGUCCAUCCAGUUAUUUGCUUUUUGUUUUAGGGUUGUUUUUUUUUUUUUUUUUUUUAAUGGAGUAGGUGGGAAGGAAAGGGUCCAUCCAGUUAUUUGUUUUUUGUUUUAGUUUUUUGUUUUUUUUUUUUAAUGGUAUAGGUGGGAAGGAAAGGAUACCUAUAAAAAGACCAUAUCCUGAGGAUAAAAGAAGGGAGGGAGGAUGACCCUCAGAUAUCUGUCCUCAGUAGAAUAACUACAAAAACACAAUCAGAUGUCUUGCAUUACAAAGCUGAAUCUCCUCCUUGCAUGGCAUCUCCUUGUAUCACCUUCUAUGCUAAAUGAGUGUCUACUUCCUGGCCUUGACUCACUUCUUUGCUUCAUUUAAUGCCCACCUGCACUUUUACUUGGCUUAUCUCAUUCACAUCCCUCAAUAACCCUGUGUCAUUGUUAUUACUGUCAGAGUCUCCAUUUCACACAGGAGGAAACAGACGUCAAGAGGUUGGCCUAAGAUCACGCAGCCAAUAACUGAGGCUGUCUAUUUCCAGAGGCCGCUCUUUUGGCCGCCGUGUUUCCUGAGAAGUGAGCAAAAGAGGCGGCAUAAAGCUCAUGUAUGUAAGCCUGGAGUUCCCCUCUGGCCUCCAGUAGAGUCCACUGGCUACGUUUCGAGCCACAUUAUGCUUUGCAAUAUAAUCACCUUGGUCAUGUGGCCCCUCCGACGAGGUGGCAACUCGUCUCCAAUCAAGCUGAUUCUCAUGAAAUAACAGUGGCCACACUGACAGAGGGCAGCCGGGCAGCCGGACAGCUGGAAAGGGCCCGGAUGGCCCACCGCCAGGCCAAGGCCGCUGUAGUGGACGUCCUGACACACCCAGCCCUCGGGACAACAGCCCAGAGCUCAGAGACCUAUUCACACACCGAUAAAACUGAAACAAGAAGAGAAGCAUGCCUUGUGUAUUAAUCUCUUUUGACAUUUUUUUUUUCUUUUUUUACUUUUGUGAAUCUGCUCUUGCUCUAUUAAGAAUAGGGUACCGUGGUCCGGGGAGAAUCGCUUCAUUGCGGCUGCAGGAUAAGGAAGCAGGAUUCCCUGGUCUCUAAAAGGUCCCCUCUAGGUUCGUGUAUCUAAGCAUCAGCUGUUAUUUGUAAUCAUCUGUUUCUAGAAUAUCAAUAACUUCUUUAUGUGACACAUAAACAUGGCCCACACCGAAGUUGAUCUACAACUUUGAAGUUCAAACCACAGGAAAAUUCCUAAGACGGUGCUCUCCUAAUUGCUUCCCGGAGCAGGCACUUUUGGCAAAUCGAUUCUCCCAAGACUACGA